AGGAUAAAAGGUUAUUUAAAUGAAUGAGGUAAGGAUAAAAUAACAAGAAUUAUUUUUAUGUUUUAUUAAUUAGUAUGAAUAAAGUUGAUAAAAUUAUAGGGAACAAGUAUUGUAAAAGAAAUUUUUGGUUUAUUGUAAAGAAAAAUUUGUGUUUUGUACCUUGUGUAUCAGGGUUUAUUAAAUAAAUUUUAAGGGUUUAAAUUUCUCGAAUUUAAAAGAGUUAUGAAUAUAAUUUUUUAUUGUGGCAUAAAUAUGGAUAAUAUAUUUAUAGAAGUGAAAUGCUAUACGAUUUUAAGUUUAUCUAGUUUUUAAAGAAAAAAAUUCAAUUUUUUUUUUAUUAUUCAUUUGAUUUAUUUUUUAAAAUGAUGAUAGUAAAAUUUUACGUUUCUAGGGAUGAGCUUAGAGACAGAUCUAUAUAACUAUAUACGGUGAUAUAAGGGUAUUAAGUAGGAAUGAAAGUUUUUAUCUUUAUUAGUGUGUUGUUACUAGUUACUUGAUUAAUUAAUUUUUAUGGGGUUUAUAUUUUUUAUUUAAACUUAGGUUUUAAUUUUUAUAAUUUAGAGAUAAUGAUAAAAUUAGUAUAAUGUAAAGUAAAAUAUAAAGUUUUAUAAAAGGUUUUUUAAAGGAAUUCGGCAAAUAUAUUUUUCACCUGUUUAAUAAAAACAUGGCUUAUUGAUAAUAAUUUUAAGUCUAGCCUGCCCAAUGAGUGAUUGAAUGGCCGCGGUACAUUGACCGUGCAAAGGUAGCAUAAUCAUUAGUUUUUUAAUUGAAAGCUGGAAUGAAUGGUUUAAUGAAAAAGUUUCUGUCUCUAGAAAAGUUUACUAGAAUUUUAUUUUUAAGUUAAAAAGCUUAAAUAUGUAUAGAAGACGAGAAGACCCUAUAGAGUUUUACAUUUACUAUAAAGUAAUAAUUGUAGGUUAAAUUUUAUGUUGUUUUGUAGGAGUGUUUUGUUGGGGUGAUAGAAAAAUUAACUGAACUUUUUUUAAAGUAAGAACAUUGAUUUAUGAAUAGUUGAUCCUAAAAUUUAGAUUAUAAGACAAAAUUACCUUAGGGAUAACAGCGUAAUCUUCUUUAGAGUUCUUAUCGAAUAGGGGGAUUGCGACCUCGAUGUUGGAUUAAAAUUUACUUUUGGUGAAGGAGCUAAGAAGUUAGGUCUGUUCGACCUUGAAAAUUUUACAUGAUCUGAGUUUAAACCGGUGUGAGCCAGGUUGGUUUCUAUCUCUAUAAAGAUAAUAUAUUUUAGUACGAAAGGACCAAAUAUUUAAUUGAUAAUUUUAAAAAACAGAAUGAUAUUAA
rnacentral:rRNA from 1 species